rnacentral:rRNA from 1 species
CAGCAGCCGCGGUAAUACGAAGGUGGCGAGCGUUGUUCGGAAUUAUUGGGCUUAAAGAGCACGUAGGCGGACCAGAAAGUGUCUUGUGAAAACCCCCGGCUUAACCGGGGAAUUGCUUGGCAAACUUCUAGGUCUUGAGUCAAGUAGGGGUACAUGGAACUCUUAGUGGAGCGGUGGAAUGCGUAGAUAUUAAGAGGAACGCCAAUGGUGAAGACAGUGUACUGGGCUUGUACUGACGCUGUGGUGCGAAAGCGUGGGGAGCGAACGGGAUUAGAUACCCCGGUAGUCCACGCCGUAAGCGAUGUCUACUAGGUUGUGGGUGUUCUGACACAGUCACAGCCGAAGCAAAAGUGUUAAGUAGACCGCCUGGGGAGUACGGUCGCAAGGCUAAAACUCAAAGGAAUUGACGGGGGCUCACACAAGCGGUGGAGCAUGUGGAUUAAUUCGAAGCAACGCGCAGAACCUUACCAGGGUUUGACAUGUAUGGAUGCCUAUCUGGAAACAGAGUCGCUGGCUUACGUGAAACUUACACAGGUGCUGCAUGGCUGUCGUCAGCUCGUGUCGUGAGAUGUCGGGUUAAGUCCUUUAACGAGCGAAACCCUUACCGUUAGUUGCCAGCGCGUCAUGGCGGGGACUCUAGCGGGACUGCCGGUGUCAAACCGGAGGAAGGCGGGGAUGACGUCAAGUCCUCAUGGCCUUUAUGCCCUGGGCUUCACACGUGCUCCAAUGGUAACUACAAAGCGACGCAAGACCGCGAAGUGGAGCAAAUCGCAAAAAAGUUGCCUCAGUUCGGAUUGCAGGCUGUCAACUCGCCUGCAUGAAGUUGGAAACGCUAGUAAUCGCGUAUCAGCUAUGACGCGGUGAAUGAGUUCCUGAGUCUUGUACACACCGCCCGUCAAGCGAUGGAAGUCGGGAGCACCCGAAGUCGGAUUGCUAACCAGUUUACUGGGAGCGUCUGCCGACGGUGAGUUCGAUGACUGGCACUAAGUCGUAACAAGGUAGCCGUA